GCUGGGUGUGGUGGCGCACACCUGUAAUCCCAGCUACUCAGGAGGCUGAGGCAGGAGAAUUGCUUGAACCCGGGAGACAGAAGUUGCAAUGAGCCAAGAUCACGCCACUGCACUCCGGCCUGGGUGACAGAGCAAGACCAUGUCUCAA
rnacentral:sRNA from 1 species